AUUGAACGCUGGCGGCAUGCCUUACACGUGCAAGUCGAACGGUAACAGGUCAAGCUGACGAGUGGCGAACGGGUGAGUAAUGUAUCGGAACGUGCCCAGUCGUGGGGGAUAACUGCUCGAAAGAGCAGCUAAUACCGCAUACGACCUGAGGGUGAAAGCGGGGGAUCGCAAGACCUCGCGCGAUUGGAGCGGCCGAUAUCAGAUUAGGUAGUUGGUGAGGUAAAGGCGCACCAAGCCGACGAUCUGUAGCUGGUCUGAGAGGACGACCAGCCACACUGGGACUGAGACACGGCCCAGACUCCUACGGGAGGCAGCAGUGGGGAAUUUUGGACAAUGGGCGCAAGCCUGAUCCAGCCAUGCCGUGUGCGGGAAGAAGGCCUUCGGGUUGUAAACCGCUUUUGUCAGGGAAGAAAAGGUUCUGGCUAAUACCUGGGACUCAUGACGGUACCUGAAGAAUAAGCACCGGCUAACUACGUGCCAGCCGCCGCGGUAAUAC
rnacentral:rRNA from 1 species